rnacentral:rRNA from 1 species
GUGGGGAAUAUUGGACAAUGGGGGGAACCCUGAUCCAGCCAUGCCGCGUGUGUGAAGAAGGCCUUUUGGUUGUAAAGCACUUUAAGCGAGGAGGAGGCUACCGAGAUUAAUACUCUUGGAUAGUGGACGUUACUCGCAGAAUAAGCACCGGCUAACUCUGUGCCAGCAGCCGCGGUAAUACAGAGGGUGCAAGCGUUAAUCGGAUUUACUGGGCGUAAAGCGCGCGUAGGUGGCCAAUUAAGUCAAAUGUGAAAUCCCCGAGCUUAACUUGGGGAUUGCAUUAGAUACUGGUUGGCUAGAGUAUGGGAGAGGAUGGUAGAAUUCCAGGUGUAGCGGUGACAUGCGUAGAGAUCUGGAGGAAUACCGAUGGCGAAGGCAGCCAUCUGGCCUAAUACUGACACUGAGGUGCGAAAGCAUGGGGAGCAAACAGGAUUAGAUACCCCGGUAGUCC